UACGGAAGGCAGCAGUGGGGAAUAUUGCACAAUGGGCGAAAGCCUGAUGCAGCUAUGCCGCGUGUAUGAAGAAGGCCUUAGGGUUGUAAAGUACUUUUCAUCGGGGAGGAAAAACAAAACUAAUAAUUUUAUUUCUUGACGUUACCCGAAAAAGAAGCACCGGCUAACUCCGUGCCAGCAGCCGCGGUAAUACGGAGGGUGCUAGCGUUAAUCAGAAUUACUGGGCGUAAAGAGCACGUAGGUGGUUUUUUUAAGUCAGAUGUGAAAUCCCUGGGCUUAACCUGGAACUGCAUUUUGAAACUGAAAUACUAGAGUAUCGUAGAGGGAGGUAGAAUUCUAGGUGUAGCGGUGAAAUGCGUAGAUAUCUGGAGGAAUACCUGUGGCGAAAGCGGCCUCCUAAACGAAUACUGACACUGAGGUGCGAAAGCGUGGGGAGCAAACAGGGAUUAGAUACC
rnacentral:rRNA from 1 species